GGAGCCARAGRGCAGCAGUAGAGAUCUUGUGCAAUGCACGAAAGUAUGACACAGAGAGGACACAUUUAAUUGAGCCUGUCAAAUUAAGUGCCAGCCGACGCGGUUAGACUUAAGGGCUGGUCUUUAUAAGUAAAAAGGCGUAAAGGAUGUGUAGGCCAAGAAAUUAUCCAAGAAGGUAAAUGGAAUUUUUCUGGAGCGGUAGAAUGUGAAGAUAGAAAAUAGAACACCUAAGGUUAAAACUAUUUACCACAAAAUAGGCUGAAACAUGAAAGUGUGGGGAGCAAACAGGAUUAGAGACCCUGGUAGUCCACACUGUGAACUUUGAAGAUGAUGCUUAGCAGACCCGAAAGGUAAAAUCUUCCGCCUGAGUAGUACGAUCGCAAGAUUAAAAUUCAAAAACUUUGGCUGUUCACUAUUUCGAUUAGAGGAGCGUGUAGUUUAAUUCGAUGGUCCGCGUGUUACCUUACCCCAACUUGAAUCUAUGACCGGUAUUGCAUGGCCGUCGUAAGUCCGUGUGUUAAGCUAGAAGGGACCCAAUCCGGGCGUUUGCCCGAAGGAAGUCAGGUCUUAUGAUCCGAAUGUUGGGGGAUUUUAUGCGCUACAUUUUCUUAUAUAAUGAGAGACUUGAAAGGUAAGCCUCUAAAGUAAGAGUUCGGAAGGUCGCUGUAAAACGACUGGAAGUUGGAUUUAAUAGUAAUCGGAAAGUAGGGCGUUCCGGUGAWUKGGUACAAGUGUUAGCACAAAUUGCCCGUCACCUUUACCUAGGAUGGUUAUUCGGACGCCUUCGGYGGWUACGAUGCUCGAAGGAAG
rnacentral:rRNA from 1 species